GAAAGAUGAAAAGAACUUUGAAAAGAGAGUUAAACAGUACGUGAAAUUGUUGAAAGGGAAACGAUUGAAGUCAGUCAUACCAACGGGAAAUCAACCUUUUGAGCUCGGUCUCGUGGGUUUUGAAGAGUUUCAAAGCCUUCGGAUUCGCGGGAUUGGGAUCUCUCGGCGUACUUUUUCGUACGGUUAGUCAACAUCGGUUUUGAAUGUCAUAAAAUGACUGGAGGAAUGUAGCUUCGAUCUCGUAUUGAAGUGUUAUA
rnacentral:rRNA from 1 species